AUUGAACGCUGGCGGCAGGCUUAACACAUGCAAGUCGAGCGGAGCGAAGGUGCUUGCACCUUAGCUUAGAGGCGGACGGGUGAGUAAUGCUUAGGAAUCUGCCUAUUAGUGGGGGACAACGUUUCGAAAGGAACGCUAAUACCGCAUACGUCCUACGGGAGAAAGCAGGUGAUCUUCGGACCUUGUGCUAAUAGAUGAGCCUAAUUCGGAUUAGCUGGUUGGUGGGGUAAAGGCCUACUAAGGCGACGAUCUGUAGCGGGUCUGAGAGGAUGAUCCGCCACACUGGGACUGAGACACGGCCCAGACUCCUACGGGAGGCAGCAGUGGGGAAUAUUGGACAAUGGGCGAAAGCCUGAUCCAGCCAUGCCGCGUGUGUGAAGAAGGCCUUUUGGUUGUAAAGCACUUUAAGCGAGGAGGAGGAGCUUCAGGUUAAUACCCUGGAUGCUUGGACGUUACUCGCAGAAUAAGCACCGGCUAACUCUGUGCCAGCCGCCGCCGUAACAC
rnacentral:rRNA from 1 species